GCUGGCGGCAUGCUUAACACAUGCAAGUCGAACGGCAGCAGCAUCUAGCUUGCUAGGUGGCUGGCGAGUGGCGGACGGGUGAGUAACGCGUAGGAAUCUGCCCUGCAGUGGGGGACAACCCGGGGAAACUCGGGCUAAUACCGCAUACGAUUUGAGGAUGAAAGCGGGUCUUUCGAGGCACGCGCUGUGGGAUGAGCCUGCGUCCGAUUAGCUUGUUGGUGGGGUAAAGGCCUACCAAGGCGACGAUCGGUAGCUGUUCUGAGAGGAUGAUCAGCCACACUGGGACUGAGACACGGCCCAGACUCCUACGGGAGGCAGCAGUGGGGAAUAUUGGACAAUGGGGGCAACCCUGAUCCAGCAAUGCCGCGUGUGUGAAGAAGGCCUGCGGGUUGUAAAGCACUUUCAGUAGGGAAGA
rnacentral:rRNA from 1 species